rnacentral:rRNA from 1 species
CCCUUAGAUGUUCUGGGCAGCACGCGCGCUACAAUGGUCUUCGCAAACGGAUGCAUUCUCGAAGGAGAAUGCCAAUCUUGGAAUCUAUGCCUUGGUCGGGACAGUUGCUUGCAAAUUUUCGACUCGAACCAGGAAUUCCUUGUAAUCGUGAUUCAUCACAUCACGAUGAAUACGUCCCUGCCCUUUGUACACACCGCCCGUCGCUCCUACCGAUCGAAGAGUUAGGUGAAUUGUUUUGAUCGAUAAGAUUUGACUAUGGUCAACUCUCGUUGUGAAAUUCUGUGAAUCUGACUGUUUAGAGGAAGGAAAAGUCGUAACA